GACGUAGGGGGCGAGCGUUGUCCGGAUUUAUUGGGCGUAAAGCGUGCGUAGGCGGCUGCGCAAGUCGGGUGUGAAACCCCGGGGCUCAACCCCGGAACUGCAUCCGAUACUGCGUGGCUAGAGGUAGGUAGGGGAGAUCGGAAUUCCUGGUGUAGCGGUGAAAUGCGCAGAUAUCAGGAGGAACACCGGUGGCGAAGGCGGAUCUCUGGGCCUUACCUGACGCUCAGGCACGAAAGCUAGGGGAGCGAGCAGG
rnacentral:rRNA from 1 species